UACGUAGGGUCCAAGCGUUAAUCGGAAUUACUGGGCGUAAAGCGUGCGCAGGCGGUUUUGUAAGUCAGAUGUGAAAUCCCCGGGCUUAACCUGGGAACUGCGUUUGAAACUACAAGGCUAGAGUGUGGCAGAGGGGGGUGGAAUUCCACGUGUAGCAGUGAAAUGCGUAGAGAUGUGGAGGAACACCGAUGGCGAAGGCAGCCCCCUGGGUUAACACUGACGCUCAGGCACGAAAGCGUGGGGAGCAAACAGG
rnacentral:rRNA from 1 species